CAUCGCCUCUUGCAAAUCUUAUAUAAGAGGUCCCGCCUGCCCUGUGACAUUGUUUAACGGCCGCGGUAUUAUGACCGUGCGAAGGUAGCGUAAUCACUUGUCUUUUAAUUGAAGACCUGUAUGAAAGGCAUCACGAGAGUUUACCUGUCUCUAUUUUCUAAUCAAUGAAAUUGAUCUCCCCGUGCAGAAGCGGGGAUAUAACCAUAAGACGAGAAGACCCUAUGGAGCUUUAAACACUUAAGUUACUAUCUUAUUUAUUAAAUAUCUAAAGACUUAACCAUUCCAAUAGUAAUCUAACUUAAUGUUUUCGGUUGGGGCGACCAAGGAGUAAAAGAAAACCUCCUCAUCGAUUGAGUAUUUUUACUUAAAAAUCAGAAUGACAAUUCUGAUUAAUAGAAUGUCUAACGAAUAAUGACCCAGGGCUAUACCCUGAUCAAUGAACCAAGUUACCCUAGGGAUAACAGCGCAAUCCUUUCUAAGAGUCCAUAUCGCCGAAAGGGUUUACGACCUCGAUGUUGGAUCAGGACAUCCUAAUGGUGCAACCGCUAUUAAGGGUUCGUUUGUUCAACGAUUAAUAGUCCUACGU
rnacentral:rRNA from 1 species